rnacentral:lncRNA from 1 species
AGAAUGAAUGCGGCUCUGCCAUUUUAGAGAAGACUGAAUCUGUACCAUUUGAAGUCCAAGGCAAGCCCAUGGAAACUUUUCUGAAUGAUGGAAUUGGAGAGGGGCCUGAAGCUGCACCACUGGAAAGCAGAGUCAGGACCAUGGAAAAUACUCUGAAUGAUGCCAUUGGAGAGGAGGCUGAAGAUGCAGCAUUGGAAAGCAGAGUUGGGACCAUGGAAAACACUCUGGAUGAUGCAAUUGGAGAGGAGCCUGAAGCCGUACCAGUGGAAAACAGAGGCAAGACCAUGGAAAGUACUCUGAAGGAUGCAGGAUCGCUGCCGAGUAACGGCAGUGCUGAACCUGAACCUGAGCCUGCCCUGCCUGAAAGCGCAACCAACGGACCACCUCCGUGUGAGCACGACGGUGGCGCGCUGCACGGUGAUAGUGCUGACUCGGAGGUGUCAUCGGGGAGCCAAGGUGACCUGCAGAAGGAGCAGGAUGGUGAUGACGCUUCUGAGACAACCCAAGGCAAUGUCAU